rnacentral:rRNA from 1 species
UACGUAGGCAGCAAGCGUUGUUCGGAGUUACUGGGCGUAAAGGGCUCGUAGGCGGCCAACUAAGUCGGAUGUGAAAUCCCCCAGGCUUAACCUGGGAAUUGCAUCCGAUACUGGAUGGCUUGAAUCCGGGAGAGGGAUGCGGAAUUCCAGGUGUAGCGGUGAAAUGCGUAGAAUAUCUGGAGGAACACCGAUGGCGAAGGCAGGUCGUCUGGGCCGGAUAGCCUGACGAGGAGCGAAGCGUGGGGAG